rnacentral:rRNA from 1 species
GAUGAACGCUGGCGGCGUGCCUAAUACAUGCAAGUAGGACGCAGUUGCGAACGGGUGAGUAACGCGUAGGUAACUACCUAUAAGAGGGGGAGAAAAAUUGGAAACGAUAGCCAAUACCGCAUAAUAGUAGAUGGACAUGAGUUGGAUUAGCGAGUAGGUAGGGUAAUGGCCUACCUAGGCAACGAUACAUAGACGACCUGAGAGGGUGAUCGGCCCCACUGGGGCCGACACACGGCCCAGGCUCCUACGGGAGGCAGCAGUAGGGAAUCUUCGGCAAUUGGGGGAACCCUGACCUAGCCACGCCUCGUUAGUGGAGAAGGGUUUCGGAUCGUAAAGCUCUUUUGUGAAGGAAGCGGUACUUAACCAGAAAGGGCCGGCUAACUACGUGCCAGCAGCCGCGGUAAUAC